GACGAACGCUGGCGGCGUGCUUAACACAUGCAAGUCGAACGGAAAGGCCUCUUUCGGGGGGUACUCGAGUGGCGAACGGGUGAGUAACACGUGAGUAACCUGCCCUUGACUUUGGGAUAACUUCAGGAAACUGGGGCUAAUACCGGAUAGGAGCUCCUGCUGCAUGGUGGGGGUUGGAAAGUUUCGGCGGUUGGGGAUGGACUCGCGGCUUAUCAGCUUGUUGGUGGGGUAGUGGCUUACCAAGGCUUUGACGGGUAGCCGGCCUGAGAGGGUGACCGGCCACAGUGGGACUGAGAUACGGCCCAGACGCCUACGGGAGGCAGCAGUGGGGAAUAUUGCACAAUGGGUGGAAGCCUGAUGCAGCAACGCCGUGUGCGGGGUGACGGCCUUCGGGUUGUAAACCGCUUUCGCUCAUGACGAAGCUUUGUGUGACGGUAGUGGGUAAAGAAGCACCGGCUAACUACGUG
rnacentral:rRNA from 1 species